AGACAUGAGGUUGACAUGUCUGAGACAUCUGUCACCCCUUUGAUCACUAGGAUUGAUUUGGCUGAUCUGGCUGGCUAGGCAAGUGCCCCCUUCCUUUCUCCCUCACCACUCCAUAUGUGUCCUUCCUGAAGCUGCACGCUCAGUCGAAAAGGACAACAUUCCCUGAUCGAAGAGGACUGUUUCCUAGGUCAAGGGUGUAUACGUGACUACACUCCCCUGCUAGAACCUCCAAAGCAGCUCUUACACUCCUUUAUACAUGGGACACCACCCAAACCAUACUCCCAG
rnacentral:snRNA from 1 species